rnacentral:lncRNA from 1 species
AUGUUCCGGGGGAGGAAAUCCAGCCCGUCAAUCCCAUUAGCAGCGAUUAGCUCCCAGCCUGUCCUCGCCAUCACGACCCCGCACAGACACUGGGCCUGUGCCCACCACCCUCACCAACCCCGCCGGCCCCGGGCUCUCACGGAAAUACUGCAGGGUCUCCUCUAUCUGCUGGGGGGUGAGGGGGGCUACGGGCUGCGGGGGGCCGCUGGGGGCUCGCAGCCAGUCGCCGUGGUCGUAGCCGAACACGGUGUCAGCCCGCAGCGUGUAGCGGGGCAGCUGCUCGCCCAGCAGGCUGAUGAUCUCCACCUCGGGGACAUCCUCGCUGCACAGCUCUGGGGACAGAGGGACACGGUGUCAGCCCAGGGUGGGGGGCAUAAGGGGGCAGUGGGCUGCACAGGGGGCUCCUGCACCCCUCAGCCCACUCUGUCCUCAUGGGCUUUGGGGCUGCUGCCACCAGCUGGGUCUGUCCCCAGAGCCACUAAUGUAGGGAUUAGGGGGUCCCCCGCAGGGUGGCACUCAGGGACCCCUCCCCAGCUCUGUCCUGCUGCCCCCUCAUGGCCCCGCUGUCCGCGGGCAGGGUCCUGCUGCCAUCUCCUGGCCACGCUGUGCCCGGCCGAGCGGCGCUGGGGACAGCGGGCGUGGGAUGCAGCGCGGGGUGAAGGAUGCCGGGACAAUGGUUCAUCUCCGGCCGUAGAAUGGGGACAGGAUGAAGGAACAGCCCAAAGUAGACCCAGCUCCUCACCCUCCUCACCCCAGCUCCCCCAGAGCACCCACGGGCACCUUCAGCUCUACCCACCGGUGAUGGUCGCGGCAUCGCGGCGUGUGCCCGUGUCUGACCGGGGGGACACGGGGCUGCUGUGGGGACAGGCAGUGACAGGUGAGUCCGGGCUGGGCUGGAGGUGGCAGGCGGGUGGGCUCUGGCUGGGGAGGGUCUCUCGUGGGACCGGGGUGUCCAGUUUGGCUGGCGUUAUGUGGGGGCCUGGCUGCCAUGGGGAGAGGCACCGUCUGCCCUGGUUCCCUGAGCGGCGCUGGCGGGCAGCAGAGUCCCUUCUCCGGCCCCUGCCUGGGGGGAAGGAGCCGUUCAGGUGA